GGAUUAGUGGCGAACGGGUGAGUAACACGUGAGUAACCUGCCCUUAACUCUGGGAUAAGCCUGGGAAACUGGGUCUAAUACCGGAUAUGACUCCUCAUCGCAUGGUGGGGGGUGGAAAGCUUUUUGUGGUUUUGGAUGGACUCGCGGCCUAUCAGCUUGUUGGUGAGGUAAUGGCUUACCAAGGCGACGACGGGUAGCCGGCCUGAGAGGGUGACCGGCCACACUGGGACUGAGACACGGCCCAGACUCCUACGGGAGGCAGCAGUGGGGAAUAUUGCACAAUGGGCGCAAGCCUGAUGCAGCGACGCCGCGUGAGGGAUGACGGCCUUCGGGUUGUAAACCUCUUUCAGUAGGGAAGAAGCGAAAGUGACGGUACCUGCAGAAGAAGCGCCGGCUAACUACGUGCCAGCAGCCGCGGUAAUACGUAGGGCGCAAGCGUUAUCCGGAAUUAUUGGGCGUAAAGAGCUCGUAGGCGGUUUGUCGCGUCUGCCGUGAAAGUCCGGGGCUCAACUCCGGAUCUGCGGUGGGUACGGGCAGACUAGAGUGAUGUAG
rnacentral:rRNA from 1 species